UCUAGGUGCAGGCACAAGGAUGGUGAAAGGGACAGACCAGGUGCCCGCCCUCCCCAAGCUCAGAGUCCCGUGGUAGAAGAAGAUAAACAAGACAGGUGUAGUGAAUGCUAUGAAAGAAUGAAGCAGGGAGAGGGGACGAAUGCAGAAUGCGGUGAGAACAGCCAGUGCAAAGGCCCUGUGGCCGGAGCAUGCUUAUAGAUGUUUGAGGAACACAGGGUGGCUUUUACAGAGAGAGCAAGGAGGUGAGGUUAGGAAGAUAAUGCACGUCCACAGGACCCGCCAAGGAGACCGGCUUCUCCUCCAAGUGCAACGGGAAGACAGAGGCUUUGAGCAUGGCGACAGUGUCUGAUUUGCAUUUUUUUUUUUUAAGGUAAAAUGGAGGAGGGGCUAUAGGGUGGGACAGGAGUGGAGGCUGGGAUAGGCUAUUGUGACUGUCCUGGCGUGAGGGGCUGUCGCCUGGACCAGGGCCCAGCAAGAGGAAGCUGUGCUCCUGUGCCUCCCUGACCACCGACAUGCCUGCCUUCUUGUUCCAGGCACUCUCAGUCUCUGGGGAGCACACCCUGGGCAGCGGUGAGCUCCUGCUACAUUCCAGAUGCCAGCUGGGCCUCGCCCCAGACCCAGAUCACGGCCUGCACCUCAGCCUGACACUCCACAACCACAGCAGGCCCCGGACGCAUGACUACUCCGGGGAGCUGGAGCUCCAUGGCCCCAAAGCUCAGUGGCUUGGCCUGCUGGGCCGCGUCUCCACCUCGGCUUCUCGAAGCCUGGUCCAGCUGGAGGGAAGCGUGGACGACGGGGAUGAGAAAGUGAGGCUGUCAGUGUCUCGGGCCCCGAACUGCCUCCAGGCCUCGGUGGCCCACGAGGAAGGGAGCCAAGAGGAGAGCGUGCUGCUGCGGGCCUGCGCCCACAGGCAGGCGGCGGAGGUGGAGGCUCUGCUCCGGGACCGAGGGCAGCCCGUCCAGCCACUGGUUCGCUUGACCCUGCAGGCUGCCAACCAGAGCCUCCGCUUGGCUGCACGCGGCUGCCAGGGGACCCUGCUGGGCCACGUGGAGGUGAGAUGGCUGGGGGUGGGGGAGGAGUGGCCAUUCCUACCACCCCCACCCGAGCCCCACCCAAGGCCACAGGCCCAGGCUCCCAGAGUCCAGCAGAGCCAAGGAAAGUGGAGGCAGACAGCCCGUAGCAUGGCACGCGGGUCCACAGCCCUGCUGCUGGCAUCGAACGCUUUCUGCCCGCUGCAUUCCCGGGGGGCCAGCCUGUCCCUCUGUGUCCGCAGUCCAGGGUAG
rnacentral:lncRNA from 1 species